AGAGUUUGAUCCUGGCUCAGGAUGAACGCUGGCGGCGUGCCUAAUACAUGCAAGUCGAACGAGUUCUGAUUAUUGAAAGGUGCUUGCGUCUUGAUUUAAUUUUGAACGAGUGGCGGACGGGUGAGUAACACGUGGGUAACCUGCCCUUAAGUGGGGGAUAACAUUUGGAAACAGAUGCUAAUACCGCAUAAAUCCAAGAACCGCAUGGUUCUUGGCUGAAAGAUGGCGUAAGCUAUCGCUUUUGGAUGGACCCGCGGCGUAUUAGCUAGUUGGUGAGGUAACGGCUCACCAAGGCAAUGAUACGUAGCCGAACUGAGAGGUUGAUCGGCCACAUUGGGACUGAGACACGGCCCAAACUCCUACGGGAGGCAGCAGUAGGGAAUCUUCCACAAUGGACGCAAGUCUGAUGGAGCAACGCCGCGUGAGUGAAGAAGGCUUUCGGGUCGUAAAACUCUGUUGUUGGAGAAGAAUGGUCGGCAGAGUAACUGUUGUCGGCGUGACGGUAUCCAACCAGAAAGCCACGGCUAACUACGUGCCAGCAGCCGCGGUAAUACGUAGGUGGCAAGCGUUAUCCGGAUUUAUUGGGCGUAAAGCGAGCGCAGGCGGUUUUUUAAGUCUGAUGUGAAAGCCCUCGGCUUAACCGAGGAAGUGCAUCGGAAACUGGGAAACUUGAGUGCAGAAGAGGACAGUGGAACUCCAUGUGUAGCGGUG
rnacentral:rRNA from 1 species